rnacentral:rRNA from 1 species
AAGAAAUCGUUAAGGGCGUAUGGCGGAUGCCUAGGCUUUCAGAGGCGACGAAGGACGUGGUAAGCUGCGAAAAGCUGCGGGGAUUGGCACACACGAAUUGAUCCGCAGAUAUCCGAAUGGGGCAACCCGGCAUAUUGAAGAUAUGUCACCUCGCAAGAGGAGCAAACCCGGAGAACUGAAACAUCUAAGUACCCGGAGGAAAAGAAAUCGAAGAGAUUCCGUAAGUAGUGGCGAGCGAAAGCGGAUUAGCCCAAAAGUCUUUUUAUGUUUAGAGGAAUGUUCUGGAAAGAACAAUCAUAGAAGGUGAUAAUCCUGUACUCGAAAGGCAUAUAGAGAUGAUAAAUGAGUAGGGCGGGACACGUGAAAUCCUGUCUGAAUAUGGGGGGACCAUCCUCCAAGGCUAAAUACUCCUGAAAGACCGAUAGUGAACAAGUACUGUGAAGGAAAGGUGAAAAGCACUUCGAAUAGAAGGGUGAAAUAGAACCUGAAACCGUACGCCUACAAGCGGUCGGAGCAGCGUAAUGCUGUGACGGCGUGCCUUUUGCAUAAUGAGCCUACGAGUUAAUUUUACUAGCGAGGUUAAGGUAUUAAGUACCGGAGCCGGAGCGAAAGCGAGUCUGAAUAGGGCGCAUAGUUAGUAGGAUUAGACGCGAAACCUUGUGAUCUACCCAUGGGCAGGUUGAAGCUCUGGUAACACAGAGUGGAGGACCGAACCGGUUGACGUUGAAAAGUCUUCGGAUGACCUGUGGGUAGGGGUGAAAGGCCAAUCAAACUGGGAGAUAGCUCGUACUCUCCGAAAUGCAUUUAGGUGCAGCGUCGUAUAUAAGUUUAUUAGAGGUAGAGCUACUGAUUGGAUGCGGGGGUUUCAUCGCCUACCAAUUCCUGACAAACUCCGAAUGCUAAUAAAUGUUCUACGGCAGUGAGGGCAUGGGUGCUAAGGUCCAUGUCCGAGAGGGAAAGAACCCAGACCAACAGCUAAGGUCCCAAAAUAUAUGUUAAGUUGAAGCAACGCGGUUGGACUGCAUUGACAGCUAGGAUGUUGGCUUGGAAGCAGCCAUUCAUUUAAAGAGUGCGUAACAGCUCACUAGUCGAGCGGUCCGGCAUGGAUAAUAAUCGGGCAUAAACAUAUUACCGAAGCUAUGGAUUUAUAUUUUAGAUAUAUCUGGUAGGAGAGCAUUCUAUUUGCGCCGAAGCAGUACUGUGAGGUAUUGUGGAGCGGAUAGAAAAGAAAAUGUAGGCAUAAGUAACGAUAAAGCAGGCGAGAAACCUGCUCACCGAAAGACCAAGGCUUCCUCAGCCAUGCUAAUCAGCUGAGGGUUAGUCGGGACCUAACGCGAACCCGAAAGGGGUAGUGGAUGGACAAUGGGUUAAUAUUCCCAUACUUGCUCACAAUAAAAGGGGACGGUUGGAUGUAGCUGCUGGAGACUGACGGAAUAGUCAAGGCCUAGCCUUCGGGCGAAGCUGCUGUAGUGUAAUCUGAUCCAAGAAAAGCCGAAGUGAAGCAACCCGUACCAAAACCGACACAGGUGGUCGAGGAGAGAAUCCUAAGGUGCUCGAGUGAGUCGUGGCUAAGGAACUAGGCAAAAUAGUCUCGUAACUUCGGAAGAAGAGACGCCAACAGCAAUGUUGGCCGCAGUGAAGAGGCCCAGGCGACUGUUUAUCAAAAACACAGGACUCUGCUAAAUCGAAAGAUGCUGUAUAGGGUCUGACACCUGCCCGGUGCUGGAAGGUUAAGGAAGGUGCUUAGCGUAAGCGAAGGCAUUAACUGAAGCCCCAGUAAACGGCGGCCGUAACUAUAACGGUCCUAAGGUAGCGAAAUUCCUUGUCGGGUAAGUUCCGACCUGCACGAAUGGUGUAACGAUCUGGGCACUGUCUCAGCCACGAGCUCGGUGAAAUUGUAGUAUCGGUGAAGAUGCCGAUUACCCGCAAUGGGACGAAAAGACCCUGUGAACCUUUACUAUAACUUCGUAUUGACUUUGAGUAAGUAAUGUGUAGGAUAGGUGGGAGGCUUUGAAGCAGGCACGCUAGUGUUUGUGGAGCCGACGUUGAAAUACCACCCUUUACUUACUUGGAGCCUAACUUCUUUCAGAAGGACAUUGCGUGGUGGGUAGUUUGACUGGGGUGGUCGCCUCCAAAAGAGUAACGGAGGCUUUCAAAGGUACCCUCAGCACGCUUGGUAACCGUGCGUAGAGUGUAAUGGCAUAAGGGUGCUUGACUGUGAGACCUACAAGUCGAUCAGGUGCGAAAGCAGGACAUAGUGAUCCGGUGGUUCCGUAUGGAAGGGCCAUCGCUCAUAGGAUAAAAGGUACUCCGGGGAUAACAGGCUAGUCUCCCCCAAGAGCUCACAUCGACGGGGAGGUUCGGCACCUCGAUGUCGGCUCGUCACAUCCUGGGGCUGGAGAAGGUCCCAAGGGUUGGGCUGUUCGCCCAUUAAAGUGGCACGCGAGCUGGGUUCAGAACGUCGUGAGACAGUUCGGUCUCUAUCUAUUGCGGGCGUUAGAUGUUUGAGAGGGCUUGAUUCUAGUACGAGAGGACCGAAUUGAACAAACCUCUGGUGUAUCAGUUGUACCGCCAGGUGCACCGCUGAGUAGCUACGUUUGGAAGAGAUAAGCACUGAAAGCAUAUAAGUGCGAAACUCGCCUCAAGAUGAGACAUCUUUUAAGGGUCGUUGUAGAUGACGACGUUGAUAGGCUAUAGGUGUAAAGACAGUAAUGUCAUAGCCAAGUAGUACUAAUUACCCGUAGAUUUAUAGUCU